GGUCCUUUAGCUGCCUAGGAAAUAGCAUCUACCCUGCGGUGGCGGGGUGCGUUCCACAGUGGAACGCACGCUCACACCACAUGCCUGCAGCUUAGCUACACCUGUGGCCAAUACAUCUGAAUAAUCAAGAGGGCUAUAAAGUGGGCAGUGACAGUCAGACAAUGGCUCUGGACCGCCAUAGGGAGUGCAAGGGAGGACUGGACCGUAGGACAACUUAAAUGCUCCAUUCAUCCACCUGAUAUAUCUGUGGGGCCAGACUUACGUCAUCUAGGACCUUUUCAAGCCAUAUAUCUAUAUCGCAUAGGGACGCUCGUCCUAUAAUAUGACGACCUGUGCCCUGUUGGCAUACUAAUACAAGGAGUGACAUCAAAACUCUUAGACAGAAAUCCUAAUCUGAAGUCCUGCAUCUAUGUAACUGAUAGCCAUGCAUCGAUGGUUGAUUAUGUCGGAUGCUUCCUUAAACUCUCUUUAAUACUAAUAAUAUCAUGUAAAACCAAUAGGUCCAGUUCGAACUGCCAUUUGUGCAGGAACAGACAUGAUCCCACUAGGGCUGGUGAGAGAGAUUCACCAAUAGAGCGGUCCCAUUACCUGGGCCUCCUAUCCUAUCAGUGUGAUAUAUAGGCUAUAUGCUGCUCACCUGUUGCAGCAUUUUCUACACCUCAUUAUUUAAUUUAACGGAAAGAUUCAUUCACCCCCUGAUGAUCCCACACCGUGGGGGAAACGCGUUGGGGUAUUAGUGUAUUGCUUUGAUUCGGUCCAUAUAUCUGGGUGACCGCUUACACCCCUAUAACGGAGUGUUUUUUAAUGAGUAAGUCCGGUGCGCCGCGUACCUUUUGAUAUUUUUAUAUCACCAGGGAUGUAUACAUAGCGCACUAAAUUUAUGUUUGUUUUUGUCUUGCUGUCCAUAGAGGUCCCCCACAGAAUAGGCUCAUCUCAACAGGGAGGGCUACCUAGGAUCUGUUAGCCUUAGGCUGGAGGACAGGGAGUCCCCACCAUCAGGGGCCGUCCCUGGGCAAAGGGUUUAGCACAGGGUCCAUAAUAGGGACAUUGUCCUUGCCCACAGCUAAACCCAUCUAGUUAGGA